AUUGAACGCUGGCGGCAUGCUUUACACAUGCAAGUCGAGCGGCAGCGCGGGGGGCAACCCUGGCGGCGAGCGGCGAACGGGUGAGGAAUACAUCGGAACGUACCCCGGAGUGGGGGAUAACGCCGCGAAAGCGGCGCUAAUACCGCAUAUGCUCUGAGGAGGAAAGUGGGGGGACCGCAAGGCCUCACGCUCUGGGAGCGGCCGAUGUCCGAUUAGCUAGUUGGUGGGUAAAGGCCCACCAAGGCGACGAUCGGUAGCUGGUCUGAGAGGAUGAUCAGCCACACUGGGACUGAGACACGGCCCAGACUCCUACGGGAGGCAGCAGUGGGGAAUUUUGGACAAUGGGGGCAACCCUGAGUCCAGCCAUGCCGCGUG
rnacentral:rRNA from 1 species